CUGCUAUAUCAGUUAUGAAUUGUAAGAUAUGAUAAACGUAACCUCAAUAAUUUUUACAUUAGGUUAGUGGGACGAGUGAGUAUAUGCUUAGCGUCCAGAUGGUAAAUUUAUUUUUAUGACAUAACCUUUACAUUUCUGAAGUCCCCUCAACAACAAAAACUGAAUCAAUGCUAGUUACGCAUACAAGAAACCCAUAAUACG
rnacentral:lncRNA from 1 species